rnacentral:misc_RNA from 1 species
GAUGAAGAACGUAGCGAAAUGCGAUAAGUAAUGUGAAUUGCAGAAUUCAGUGAAUCAUCGAAUCUUUGAACGCACAUUGCGCCCGCCAGUAUUCCGGCGGGCAUGCCUGUUCGAGCGUCAUUUCAACCAUCAAGCCCUGCUUGCGUUGGGGUCCUGCGGCUGCCCGCAGGCCCUGAAAACCAGUGGCGGGCUCGCUAGUCACACCGAGCGCAGUAAUACAUCUCGCUUUGGGCGUGCGGCGGGUUCUUGCCGUUAAACACCCCCUUUUUACCAAGGUUGACCUCGGAUCAGGUAGGAAUACCCGCUGAACUUAAGCAUAUCAAUAAGCGGAGGA